rnacentral:pre_miRNA from 1 species
CCAAAGUCUCAGUGCAGCUUUAAAUUAUUGAAGCUUAAAACUGCACUAAGACUUUUGAG